rnacentral:rRNA from 1 species
UCAGGCCUAACACAUGCAAGUCGAGCGGAUGAGUGGAGCUUGCUCCAUGAUUCAGCGGCGGACGGGUGAGUGGUGCCUAGGAAUCUGCCUGGUAGUGGGGGAUAUCGUUUCGAAAGGAACGCUAAUACCGCAUACGUCCUACGGGAGAAAGUGGGGGAUCUUCGGACCUCACGCUAUCAGAUGAGCCUAGGUCGGAUUAGCUAGUUGGUGGGGUAAUGGCCCACCAAGGCGACGAUCCGUAACUGGUCUGAGAGGAUGAUCAGUCACACUGGAACUGAGACACGGUCCAGACUCCUACGGGAGGCAGCAGUGGGGAAUAUUGGACAAUGGGCGAAAGCCUGAUCCAGCCAUGCCGCGUGUGUGAAGAAGGUCUUCGGAUUGUAAAGCACAUUGAAGUUGGAGGAAGGGCAGUAAGUUAAUACC